rnacentral:rRNA from 1 species
UAUGAUGGCGACCGGCGCACGGGUGCGUAACGCGUAUGCAACCUACCUUUUACAGGGGCAUAACACUGAGAAAUUGGUACUAAUUCCCCAUAAUAUCUGAGACGGCAUCGUUUUGGGUUGAAAACUCCGGUGGUAAAAGAUGGGCAUGCGUUGUAUUAGCUAGUUGGUGAGGUAACGGCUCACCAAGGCGACGAUACAUAGGGGGACUGAGAGGUUAACCCCCCACAUUGGUACUGAGACACGGACCAAACUCCUACGGGAGGCAGCAG